GAUGAACGCUGGCGGCGCGCCUAACACAUGCGAGUCGAACGGCACCCCUCCUCGGAGGGAAGCGAGUGGCGACCGGCUGAGUAACACGUGGAGAACCUGCCCCCUCCCCCGGGAUAGCCGCCCGAAAGGACGGGUAAUACCGGAUACCCCGGGGUGCCGCAUGGCACCCCGGCUAAAGCCCCGACGGGAGGGGAUGGCUCCGCGGCCCAUCAGGUAGACGGCGGGGUGACGGCCCACCGUGCCGACAACGGGUAGCCGGGUUGAGAGACCGACCGGCCAGAUUGGGACUGAGACACGGCCCAGACUCCUACGGGAGGCAGCAGUGGGGAAUCUUGCGCAAUGGGGGGAACCCUGACGCAGCGACGCCGCGUGCGGGACGGGGGCCUUCGGGUCGUAAACCGCUUUCAGCAGGGAAGAGUCAAGACUGUACCUGCAGAAGAAGCCCCGGCUAACUACGUG
rnacentral:rRNA from 1 species